rnacentral:lncRNA from 1 species
ACCAGCUGCAGUCAAAGUGCACAGAGUGGCUGGGGCUGGACUGCUGGAACAGUUCUAACUAUCAGAAAACAGCUCCAUCCCGCUCUGCGUGGUCAGGAUCAUUGUCCCGGCACUUACCAGGAACCAUCUUCAGACCCCUUCCAAAAAAGGACACUUCCAGCAUCGAUGUGAGUGUGAGUGGAAGAGAAAGCAACGAGUGAGGGUCGGGGGGUUCCUGUGCCCACAGAAGGCUUUGUCAGAUAAGAAUGAGAGCCGACAAGUCAGACUCCAAGCCCUGGAAGGACUACAUGCCCCGCAGCUUCCCCUGCGAU